GACUAUAUGGCAGGGUAUUCGCAACAGCGAUUGGCCAAUUACUGCGAACCCAAGAACAAUGCGUUAACAUCAAAUAGCAAAAAACUAACAACUAUAACUUCAUGCAUUUAUACAACUAAGUAUUUAGCUAGCUACGGCAACUGAUCAUGCUAUGAUAAUAACAUGCACUACUUAUUGUCGCGAACUGUCCAUUGCUAACACAAGGUCUACUCAGU